AAAAGGCAGUUAUAUAUUUAUUAAGAUUGAUAUAAGUAACUUACAUGAAAGCUGAGAACACGGUCAGUGCUCUAUGGUCCCUGAAACUCGCCUGGGCCAAGAAAGAGAGUGAGAGAGAGCGCCCUCUCCUCUACCAUCUCUUAUCUCUGAAUCCUUCCGCAUACCCAUGACCACACCCAGGCAUGGUCAACUGCAGAGCUCCAGUGAAACGUGGCAAUGCUAGCAAAGGUCUAUCCAGUUAAAGCAGAAGGGAUGGACGAAGUGGAAUUGGAGUCAAUGAACUGGGAAAGCAUGAAUUUAUGAUAGCAACCUCAAUGAAUGAACAAGGAUACCUCACUUACCCCAAAAUGUUUUUUGCAACUAAAAACUAU